rnacentral:tRNA from 1 species
AGCCUUAAGGUGAUAUUCAUGUCGAAUUGCAAAUUCGAAGGUGUAGGUAAAUUUCCCUACUAAGGCUU